GGGUGCCCUCGAGGGCUUUCCGCGUGAGGCGCUGUCUGGCCAGUACCUCGGGCUGCCACCUCUAUGGUUUGAGGCAUUUUGUUGGGCAAGUGGAGGGUGCAUCUGGUCGGAACGGGCCAAGAGACACAAGAACAGCGGCUGCCUCGUGAAGGAAAGGACGGCGUGCGUGAGGGGCUGCCAGUCUCCCACAUUAGCUUGCUGCCUCCUGACUGAGCCCAAUUGUUAGAGGGACCCUGAGGCUGCGAGAGGUCCACAGCCCAGAGGCCCUGCCCACAUACCUGCUCCAGCCGGGCCCUUGGAUACAUGGCUGAGAAGGGCUGACAACAGCCCUGGAAUUCUCUAGAAGAUCCCAUGCGCUCUUUUCAAUGCUGCAGGUUCAGAAUAGCCUGGAGAACAGCUCUGAGCGGCCUGGCUCGGGUCAUGCGCCCACCUGGGACCAAUCAACGGCUGCAGGGUCAGGCACGGGCGGGGAAGGUGGCUGCGGCCUCUGCCAGACUCACGGGAGGAGCAGUUCCCCAAAAAGAGCAAGUGUGUGAGCAGAGAACCGAGGGGCAUAAAGCCCUGAUUCCUCUCCUGUGGCCCCAUCCGGCUCUCUGCGCUCGUAUCAUUUAAUAACUCCUGCCGCAAAUUGAAGGCCAGGCCUUCACGGGCGAUUCCCCAUCAACAAUCUGGCGAGGAGGCCACUGACUCCACGCUGUUUAUACUUCCCUCUCCCCUCCGUAGCUCCCAGAAGUUUCCAUAAAAGCAGAUGUAGGUAAUCAAAGACUUCCCAGCCCCAACAGCUCUGCUCCUCAAGGCCUCCACACAGCCUGCUCCCUCUGCUGGGUCACAUGGCUCCAAAAGAAUCUUAAACCAGCCCUGAAAUCUCUCCCCAGGAAGGAAGACUCCUCCUUGCCCGCAGAUCUGCCAUCAUUUGUCGAGUAUUUUAUGGUCAAUAAUAAUAGUAAUAACACCUUCA